GUUAACUUGUAGACAGAAUUAAGUGUAACUCAAAUAUUUAUUAGGGUAAUUUUCCCUACUGGUGACUAAUGUACCACAGUAGGGGUGGGAUAGUGGAAGGGAGGCAUUCUGAGGAAUACAUUUUCAGCACCCCAGUGGGUCUUUAAAAAUACAUAAAUACAUCAGUGACAAGUUUGCAAUCACUAGUCACACCUCCACCUGCACCAAGUAGUACAUAGGGCAUCACAUUCUGCAAACAAAAGUAAAAGACUACAAUUUCCCUGCUGCACCAAGGCACAUGGAACUAGAAGCAGACAUGAGAAGUAGCAACAGCUUUAAGUCCUUGUCCCCCCGCCCCCAACACACACACAAUAGAUCUGCACAGAGAGCUAUAGACGUCUAUGUCUCAAUCACCACUGGACACAUGCAGGUGAAUAUGUCUAUGAAGGGAGGCUGUAGACCAGCAGAAAAGGAAGGAGAGCGUUGGCCAACACACUAGAGAGACAGAGAGCGAGAAAAUGAGAAACCCGGGAGGAAGUCAAGCAACUUGUCACCUGGAGUCAUCCUCCUGGAUCCAACCCUCCGCUGCAGAG